rnacentral:rRNA from 1 species
GAUGAACGCUGGCGGCGUGCCUAAUACAUGCAAGUCGAGCGAAUGGAUUAAGAGCUUGCUCUUAUGAAGUUAGCGGCGGACGGGUGAGUAACACGUGGGUAACCUGCCCAUAAGACUGGGAUAACUCCGGGAAACCGGGGCUAAUACCGGAUGACAUUUUGAACCGCAUGGUUCGAAAUUGAAAGGCGGCUUCGGCUGUCACUUAUGGAUGGACCCGCGUCGCAUUAGCUAGUUGUGAGGUAACGGCUCACCAAGGCAACGAUGCGUAGCCGACCUGAGAGGGUGAUAGGCCACACUGGGACUGAGACACGGCCCAGACUCCUACGGGAGGCAGCAGUAGGGAAUCUUCCGCAAUGGACGAAAGUCUGACGGAGCAACGCCGCGUGAGUGAUGAAGGCUUUCGGGUCGUAAAACUCUGUUGUUAGGGAAGAACAAGUGCUAGUUGAAUAAGCUGGCACCUUGACGGUACCUAACCAGAAAGCCACGGCUAACUACGUGCCAGCCGCCGCCGUAA